GAGGCGUUACGAACCGCCCCCGACCAAACACCUCCCGGCCCCUUCCCCUAUGAUCGCGGAUCGCGGCCAAGGCUCCCCGCCUCCGGGGAGCGCUUCCUGACUGCCCGAAAUCGACCCUCACGUCCCCUGGCCGGACGCGCGGCGACGCGCCGCUUCCUAUCGCGGAGCGCCGCGCGCGCGCGUUCGC
rnacentral:sRNA from 1 species